rnacentral:lncRNA from 1 species
GUGUCACUGGCCUCAGCUCCAGCUCAGUGCCGACAUAUUCACCAACUAUUAACCAGACUCGGUGACAGAGGAUGCUACAGAACUGUUAUCGUGGAGAAGCAGGUCCAAACAUCAACUCAUGAGAAAGAGACAGGAGGGAGGCAGAAGAUAAGCACCGCUGGUGGUCUCAUGCACACUUCCCCCUGCAGCAGCCGGCAGCUGGUCCGGCUGGAGCCCUGCCGUGACGCAUUAUCAUCUCCACACGCUGAAACGUACGUCCAGAAACACGCAGCUGCGUGACCGACGGCAGGAUCACAUUUAUGGAUACGAGGCGCUUUCACUUGUCUGCAGCUGCAAAUGCUGCAAUGAAUUGUAGGGAAGUUCAUUAAUGAAGCUACACGCUGGGCCCCUGAAGUCACGUGAUUCAUUUCAGACCGAGGGCACUGUCAGACUAUAAACCAGGAGCGCGUGGUCGUCAUGCGUGGUUCAUGUGCGGAAGGAGAGAUGAUGUCAGUGUAACGUUCUUGAGCCCGUCGACAUCUGCUGGUUUCUGCAGCUACAGCUUAAAAAACAAACCUGUUCAGUCCAACAUAAAAUACUAAACCGCUGCCUUGGUUUUCACGCGUUCCUAAAACAAUAACACAGAAGACACGUGGCGCCCCCUAAAGGCCGCAGCUGCAACGACAGGAGACUUCAUGUAGCGCCCGUUCAUGCUACAUUAACGUUUCCUCCUCCGCUCGUUAGCGACGGACGCACGUCCGACGCUCCGCUUUAAGCGCAGUCGUGGAUGAAUCUCUGUGGAACACGAAGAAUCCAAACAUCAGCGGCGCCGCCGUGCGUCCGCUCUCCGCUGCUGCAGCUGCUGAGGAGGAGGAGGAGGAAACGAGGGAGGAGGAGAAGAUGGAGGCGGAGGAGGAGGACGCACGCGGAGGAUCGCUCGAAUGUCACUGAGACGCGCGCGGGGAGGCAGGACGUGCGGGAGCGCUUUGUUUACCUGCCUUCACGCGCCGCAGAUGAUGAUGGCGCAUCCUCCUCAUUCGCCAGGUCGCUGAAAUCUGGAUUUUACCAUGAGAGGAACCGGCAUGGACCUGCUGUGGAGGAUCCUGGCAGCUCUCAGCUUCGACUGCUUCAAAGAUUCAUCGUCGUCGAAGUCUCCCACCAAGCAGAGUUCCAGCCCGGCCGGCAGCCUGGAGAGCAGCUCGCUGACCGGCUCCCUGUCCCUGGGCCCCGACUUGCCUCACUGCCAGUGCUGCAUCUCCUACGGGGCUCGGCUGAAGCGCCUCUCCUGCGGCCACCUCUACUGCGACCCCUGCUGCGACCAGAUCGUCAACCUGGCCUUCGAGGACAUCGAGGGCCUGUCCGACUACCCCUGCCCCAUGUGCAAGUCCAUGCGGCAGCUGGGAGGCCUGGGCCCCUCCUCCUCAGGGUACGUCUACGGGCCGUGCAGCGUCCUGCAGCAGCAGCAGUGUGUGGGGAAGGAGCACGGCAGCCGGUGGGGGUGAACUUUGACCUCAGAGCGAUGUCAGACACUUGCUGCUUUCCCUACAGCCAGUUUGGAUUUGAACGCACCGCCCACUGCCAUGACAGGACUCGCCUGCUGUGUUGUAACCGUGUCUCCUGCUCUGUUGUCUGUGGCGUUCGGGUGAAACAUGGGUGUGCGCGACACCAACGUCUGCAGGUUUAG